GUGCUUUCUCAGCUUCUGUCUUUUCAAGAUUUUCUAUUACCCCUUUAACCCCCUAAAAUAUAAAGUUAUUAAGGUCAUUUAUUUAAAAAUGACGUGAGUAGGUGAUGUACAUUUUUCUUGCAGGUUUGUUAAGAAGUUGGAGCACUCUUGGAAAGCCCUGGUACAUGACGGAGACACUGUCUCAGUGCAUCGCCCAGGCUUCUACGCUGAACGGUUCCAGCGCUUCAUGUGCAACACAGUAUUUAAGAAGAUUCCCUGUAAGUGGUUUCUACCAAUUGACUGCCUACUCCUGCCCAGUGGCUCCCUUACCCCAAGAGAACAGAGGGCAGGACACCUCUGGUAGGGAGCUGCCAAUGCCAGAGGCCUCUCCUUCCACCUACAUCCCAUGAGAGCCAUUUCUUGUCCUUUGUGUUAGUCUGUCAUAGUCAUUUCCAAGUUGCUGUUUCCCCCUUGGCUCUUCCUGCAUAUGUCAAUGAGGUGAGGACCAUUUCUGGGGAAUUGGGAUUUGCAAAAAAAUAAAUAAAUAAAUAAUGUGUAGUUGUGGAUGUAGGAUCCAUGCCACAGAGAUAGGCAGAGCCUAUGUACAGAGAUACGCAGUGAGGUUAAUGGUGUUCUGUUUUGUCUUCUAGACUAUCUCAGGUGGUUACAGAAGCAUUUACUGAUUUCUGCUUAGCACAUGUUUUUAGUCUCUUUUCUCAACUUUCUUGUUUAGGAAGUGCCAAUAUUUUUUUGCAAAUCUUCCAUGCUGCUGCCAUAGCAAAUUCUAGCUUCUCUUUCCCUUCUUCUCAUAUUAGGCAUCAUUAUUCCCAUAGCGAGGGAGAGGGGACCUAGGCAUGCCAGUCUUAAGGGAUAUGGAAAAACCAGGCUGGGUGCAGUAUCUCACACCUAUAAUCCCAGCACUUUGGGAGACCAAGGCAGGAGGAUCGGUUAAGCCCGAUAGUUUGGAACCAGCCUGGGCAACAUCAUGAGACCUUGUCUCUACAAC
rnacentral:lncRNA from 10 species